CCCGUGGUCACUGAUGCUGCCCUGCAGGGUGCUGGAGGAGGCCCUGCCCUGCAGGGUGCUGGAGGCCCUGUGGGAGCUACUCCUCCAGGCCAUUCUGCAGGCGCUGGGUGCAAACCGUGACGUCUCUGCUGAUUUCUACAGCCGCUUCCACUUCACGCUGGAGGCCCUGGUCAGUUUUUUCCACGGAGAGGGUCAGGGUUUGCCCCUGGAGAGCCUGAGGGAUGGAAGCUACAAGAGGCUGAAGGAGGAGCUGCGGCUGCACAAAUGUUCCACCCGCGAGUGCAUCGAGCAGUUCUACCUGGACAAGCUCAAACAGGUAGGGAGGCACCAGGGACAGGGUGCUGCCUCCGAGGCUCCCGGAGCCCAGCUGCGCUCACCGCCUUUCCGCAGAGGACCCUGGAGCAGAACCGGUUUGGACGCCUGAGUGUCCGUUGCCAUUACGAGGCGGCUGAGCAGCGGCUGGCCGUGGAGGUGCUGCACGCCGCUGACCUGCUCCCCCUGGACGCCAACGGUGAGUUGCAGAGGGGACGGGUCGGGGGGUGGUGGGAUGGGGCAGGGGGGCUCACGACUGUGUUCCUGCAGGCCUAAGUGACCCCUUUGUGAUCGUGGAGCUGGGCCCACCGCAUCUCUUCCCACUGGUCCGCAGCCAGAGGACCCAGGUGAAGACCCGGACACUGCACCCUGUAUACGACGAGCUCUUCUACUUGUGAGUGUCCCAAGCCCCAGCCCCAGGCUCCAGGCUGCCAGAGUGAGACUCCCCUGACUGGCCUCUGUCCGCAGUUCCGUGCCUGCCGAGGCGUGCCGCCGCCGUGGGGCCUGCGUGCUGUUCACCGUCAUGGACCACGACUGGCUGUCCACCAACGACUUCGCUGGGGAGGCAGCCCUCGGCCUAGGUGGCGUCAGUGGUGUCGCCCGGCCCCAGGUGGGCGGGGGUGCAAGGGCUGGGCAGCCUGUCACCCUGCACCUGUGCCGGCCCAGAGCCCAGG
rnacentral:sRNA from 1 species